CAGUCGCCACGGGAAUACAGAGGAUGCAAGCGUUAUCCGGAAUGAUUGGGCGUAAAGCGUCUGUAGGUGGCUUUUCAAGUCCGCCGUCAAAUCCCAGGGCUCAACCCUGGACAGGCGGUGGAAACUACCAAGCUGGAGUACGGUAGGGGCAGAGGGAAUUUCCAGUGGAGCGGUGAAAUGCGUUGAGAUCGAAAAGCACACCAACAGCGAAAGCACUCUGCUGGGACGACACUGACACUAAGAGACGAAAGCUAGGGGAGCAAAUGGGAUUAGAUACCCCCGUAGUCCCUGUCUCUUAUAC
rnacentral:rRNA from 1 species